UACAGAGGUCUCGAGCGUUAGGCGGAAUCACUGGGCUUAAAGCGUGUGUAGGUGGAUCGUUAAGUACCUUGUGAAAUCCCACGGCUUAACCAUGGAACUGCUUGGCAUACUGGCGGUCUUGAGCCAGCUAGGGGCUACCGGAACAAAUGGUGGAGCGGUGAAAUGCGUAGAUAUCAUUUGGAACGCCAAUGGUGAAAACAGGUAGCUGGGGCUGUGCUGACACUGAGACACGAAAGCCAGGGGAGCAAACGGG
rnacentral:rRNA from 1 species